rnacentral:rRNA from 1 species
GUGCCAGCAGCCGCGGUAAUACAGAGGGUGCAAGCGUUAAUCGGAAUUACUGGGCGUAAAGCGUGCGCAGACGGUUUCGUAAGUCGGGUGUGAAAGCCCCGGGCUCAACCUGGGAAUUGCAUUCGAAACUGCAAGGCUAGGGUACGGAAGAGGGAAGCGGAAUUUCUGGUGUAGCGGUGAAAUGCGUAGAUAUCAGAAGGAACAUCAGUGGCGAAAGCGGCUUCCUGGUCCAGUACCGACGUUCAGGCACGAAAGCGUGGGGAGCAAACAGGAUUAGAAACCCUCGUAGUCC